UACGAGGGGGGCGAGCGUUUGUUCGGAAUUAUUGGGCGUAAAGGGUGCGUAGGCGGCCUGACAAGUCUGAUGUGAAAUCCCUGGGCUCAACCCAGGGCCUGCAUCGGAAACUGUGAGACUUGAGUAUGAGAGAGGUGAGUGGAAUUCCCAGUGUAGAGGUGAAAUUCGUAGAUAUUGGGAAGAACACCGGUGGCGAAGGCGGCUCACUGGCUCAUUACUGACGCUCAGGCGCGACAGCGUGGGGAGUCAAACAGG
rnacentral:rRNA from 1 species